AACAGGAUUAGAUACCCUGGUAGUCCACGCCGUAAACGAUGAGUGCUAGGUGUUAGGGGGUCCAACCCCUUAGUGCUGAAGUCAACACAUUAAGCACUCCGCCUGGGGAGUACGACCGCAAGGUUGAAACUCAAAGGAAUUGACGGGGGCCCGCACAAGCAGUGGAGCAUGUGGUUUAAUUCGAAGCAACGCGAAGAACCUUACCAGGUCUUGACAUCCUCUGACAACCCUAGAGAUAAGGCUUUCCCCUUCGGGGGACAGAGAGACAGGUGGUGCAUGGUUGUCGUCAGCUCGUGUCGUGAGAUGUUGGGUUAAGUCCCGCAACGAGCGCAACCCUUGAUCUUAGUUGCCAGCAUUCAGUUGGGCACUCUAAGGUGACUGCCGGUGACAAACCGGAGGAAGGUGGGGAUGACGUCAAAUCAUCAUGCCCCUUAUGACCUGGGCUACACACGUGCUACAAUGGGUGGUACAAAGGGCCGCGAGACCGCGAGGUUAAGCGAAUCCCAUAAAGCCACUCCCAGUUCGGAUUGCAGGCUGCAACUCGCCUGCAUGAAGCCGGAAUUGCUAGUAAUCGCGGAUCAGCAUGCCGCGGUGAAUCCGUUCCCGGGCCUUGUACACACCGCCCGUCACACCACGAGAGUUUGUAACACCCGAAGUCGGUGAGGUAACCUUUUGGAGCCAGCCGCCGAAGGUGGGACAAAUAAUUGGGGUGAAGUCGUAACAAGGUAACC
rnacentral:rRNA from 1 species